rnacentral:misc_RNA from 1 species
UCUUCCAUUAACUUUGGAUAGCAAGAUCCUGGGGGCGACAUCACAAACUUCUUGAAAAGUGAUUGACAGUAUUCAUGAGACAGAAAGAAAAUGUCUGUUUUUCACUUUCCAACCACUUACCACAUUUCUUACAAUGGAAGAAAUUUUCCCUUCCUCCAUCUCUGCAAAUUCCACAUUCAUCACAAUGGUAUUGAUUCUUUGAAACAUCAUCGUCAAAGAAUAUGCACUUGGCACAGAAAUACUUCCCCAUGCAAACUCCACAACUAACGCAAUUCUGCUUAACAUCUUGUUCUUCCCCACAAAGGGAGCAAAUAACCUUUAUCACUUCAUGGCUU